rnacentral:rRNA from 1 species
UACGGAGGGGGCUAGCGUUGUUCGGAAUUACUGGGCGUAAAGCGCGUGUAGGCGGUUACGCGAGUCAGGUGUGAAAGCCCGGGGCUCAACCCCGGAAUAGCCUUUGAAACUAGAUUGCUUGAAUCCAGGAGAGGUGAGUGGAGUUCCGAGUGUAGAGGUGAAAUUCGUAGAUAUUCGGAAGAACACCAGUGGCGAAGGCGGCUCACUGGACUGGUAUUGACGCUGAGGUGGCGAAAGCGUGGGGAGCAAACAGGG